rnacentral:lncRNA from 1 species
UUCCAAAGAUGCGUGUAAUUACAAGCCCUUCCCUCCUUAUCCUCCACCACCACCACGGCGGUGCCACCACUCUCCUCCGCUCCUUCCGCCGAAACUUCUCUUUCUUCCCUCCCUCUUUCAGCAUUUCCAACCCAAAAUCCAGGGCCUACUCUACUUCUUCCACAUCCUCUGCAGAGCCGCAGCCUGGUUCCCUCAUCAUUGAAAGCAACGAGCGAACUGGCCGCUCCGGUUCACUCGCUUCACCACCUACCCAUUUGGAUAUUACGCAGAAAAUUGACGUUAAUCCUCCCAAAGGAACUCGGGAUUUCCCCCCGGAGGACAUGAGGCUCCGCAGUUGGCUUUUUCAGAACUUCAGAGAGGUAAAGCUUUUGUAUUAUCUUCUUUGAUGAUAUUAUGAUUAAAGAAUUGUACAACCAUCCAUUCGCUAACUUCUGUGGUUAUUAGUUGGGAUCUUUUGUGUGUACCUUGGUUACGCAGUCCAGGGAGGAAGAGAUAACCGUUAGGGUGAAUCGUAAUGUCCAGUGCUCUGUACGUUGUAUUUAAAGAUUUUCUCUUGGUUAACCAGUGUCCGUUCGACGGUGUAAUGUAUUCUGUCUAGGGUUAUGUAUCGCCUAGCUUGAUUUAAAAUGUAGAUGCUUCGACUUAGUACCUUUGGGAUAUGGUUUAGAUUGAGAUAUAACGUUCGUAGUUGGACAUUCUUCUUCAUUGGGUUCACCUUGGUUGCUGCAAUGGCAAAGUAAAGUUCAGACUGUGCUUUAAUGCUUGUAUGUGGAUGCAUGGUAAGACCGUAUGAGAGCAAGAUGCACAAAUAUUUCUGUUCGCACAGUGGGAAGAUGUACAAAUAUUUCUGUUCGCACAGUGGUCUGAAGGUUGUACCUCAGUUUUGACCACGUCCAAGAAGGGUACAACUGCUGAAGCAUAAGAUUAAAAUUUUAAUGGAUUAAACUACAUGAUAUAUGCUCCUACCAUGCCUAUUUUGCACAUCAUGCUUCGAAUAAAUGGCGUUCUGUUAGGUGAGGCGAACUGCAAAAGUUUCUUUUGGUGGUGGUUAGAGUGAGAAGAAAAUAUUGAGGUAAAGAAAGAUUGAAUCUUUUGAUUUGUAGGUGAUAAUGUGGUGGUGCAUUGGUGUAGGUAAUAAUAUAAAAAAAUUAGAUAGGGGCGAAGGAAAAUUUGUAAUAAUUGAUUGCGUUUUGUAAUAUUAAGGAGUAUCUUCUAGAUCAAUGUAUUGUAAUUUGAAAGCAGCUACUCCACACUAACUUUUUCACUGCUAUUAUUUUUCUUGUGAUUACGUUAAAUGUUGGGAAGAAUAGGUUUUAGCAAAUGGCUAAAUUUUCUAUCUGAAAAGAUUGUACCACAAGGAAAAUAUUUACUUUCUUAUUUAUUAGGGUGGUUUAUAAACUUAUUGGCAGAAAUGGAGCCAGCAUUUCAGCCAGGUGGGCUGCAGGUGGGGAUGGGGAAGAACUAUUCCCACCCCUCCAUGUUGACCCGCCUACUGCUCUCGUUGACAUGUGCAAGGAAAUGCAUUGCUGAUUAAAAAGUUUCUAGGUUUCCAUGGAUGAAAAUCACCAUUAUAAUGAAUCCAUUGAGUUCAAUAUCUAGGAUUACCAUCAUAAAUCAAUCUAUCUUCAGCUUUAUUUAAUAAUUACAUAAUAACGUCACUAAUAUGAGUAUAUCUAUGAUUUUGAAAAUGCAGUCCUCAUUUUUCUGGAAAGAUUUUCCUGUCAAAGUUUUAGCAUUAAAUUUUAUCCUCAUGUUUGUUAUGCGCUGAUUGACUGUUGAACAUCUAGGUUUCACAAUUGUUCGGGUUUGAAGAGGUUGAUUUUCCAGUCCUAGAGUCAGAGGCUCUGUUUGUUAGGAAAGCUGGGGAAGAGAUUAGAGAUCAGGUUGGUGUGAAUUUUACUUUUCAUCCUGUAGCUUUUAUAUGUAGUUCCAUGGUAAGAUUGUAAAAGUAAACCAAUGUAAUUCUAAAUUUUCAUCAGGUGUAUAAAGAAAUUAGAAGAGGAAGGGAAACAUAUGGUACUCAAUAGACGAAAGCAGAGUAAAAAUUAACAUGAUUUACCUUUUGGUCUAUUGAAGGCCGAAAAUGGUUCAUGCCUCUUGGCAGUGUGAAAAAAAUAAUAAAAAAUUGAAUACAGAUGAAAUAGGACUUUUCCCAUUCUUCUAAUAUUGUAUGCUGGCUAAAAUUUGUAUUGAAGCAGUGAAAUUCCUCAUUGUAAUGCAUGGUAAAUGGAUGAUAUGCUAAUAGCUAACAAGAAUAUUAUGUCCUGGGGUUAAUCCUUAAUUUCUUAUAUCAUUAAUACUGGUUUUUUGCUAUUUGUUCAACACAUCUGAUUAACUUGUCAAGAAUGCCCAACCUCUUCUAAGAAAAACAAACUUCUGUUAUCCUUUUUCUUUUAAAUUAUUCAUCAACGGUUCAAGCGUUAGUAAUGCAAAGUCAUCUGAUCCUUUGAUAAUUGGCAAAUAUAAAAUGAAACUUUGUUAUAUGUAUUCCACUUUGUAUUAUUUGUUGUAGUGAAGAAACCAAAUCAAUGGAAGAAAAAGAAGCAGCAAAAAUUUCAAUGAGAAAGCAACUGUAAUCUACUAUUCCAACUUUUAUUCAUGGAAAAAUGGAGUUUACACAGUAGAUAAAGGAUCCUGAGCAGACGUGUAUAAAAGCAUUUAUAUGUAUAUAUUUCUUUAUGCCUUGCAUAUACAGACUGAUUAAUAUUUAUAUUUCUUGGAUGUGAUCCGGUCACAUUAAUAUCAGGGCUUGUGUAUGCUUGUAUUUGGCGUUCUUGGGAGGUGUAUCAUUAAAAAGAUAAGGUCAAAUUGACUCAUAAGGAUCCAUAUUUUGGUAAUUUAAUAAUUUGGUGCAGCCUGCAAAAUAUGCUUUUGAGAAUUAAUUUCAUGGCUUGCUUGGAAAGCAUCACUAAUUAUUGAUGCCUCUGUAAAUUCAUCCUGUGGUACCACAAACACUACAUAUACAUAUAUGGCCGGAUAAUGGCGUGUCAAGGCAAGGGGAAAUUGUAUAUUUCAAAAGCAAUGCAAGGCUGAGGAGAAUUUGCAUGUAGAUUACUUAGAGAUACAGUUCUCUCUGAUUACUUGUAAUCUCUCUUUUGGUUUUCUAUGGAUGAAGCUUUACUGCUUUGAGGAUCGGGGAAACCGUCGGGUUGCAUUAAGGCCAGAACUUACUCCUUCUUUGGCCAGACUUGUGAUACAGAAAGGGUAAAGUUCAAUAUUUCCUUAUCCUUUUGUCCUUGUGCAUAUGCAAAAAUCUUUGCUUUUUACGAGUUUUCUUUAGCAAAUUCUUAAAUCACCAUAAUAUAUUUAUAUGUUAUUCCUGAUUUUGUAUCCAGGUACGGAUGCUCGAUUUUGAUCUCCAUGUUUUUUUCUGUCCAGAAAAUCUAUAUCCCUUCCACUAAAAUGGUAUGCCAUUGGACAGUGCUGGCGCUAUGAACGAAUGACCAGGGGACGCCGUCGUGAACACUACCAGUGGAACAUGGAUAUUAUUGGCGUACCUGAUGUUGCAGUAUGUUGACUCUACAUUGCUUGAGACCUGUUCUGUGUUUACCUUCAUUACAUGCUAACGAUCUUUGUGCUUGUUUGAGCCCAUUCUUUGGAAAAAAAUGCAUUCUUAAACAGUGUUUUGAUAUCAUUUCAACUACAUAUUCUUUAAUAAAAUAAUAUUACACGCAAAUCAAAAUUUUUUUCUUAUUAUUUAACUACACAUUUCAGAUCAAUACACUAUUCAAAAAUGCAUUUCAAACGCGUCUGUAUAGUAACAAUCACUGAUUUCUGUUUCUUUUAUAUUUUUCCCAAAGAACAGCUUAGUUACUCAAACCUGGAUUUUCGUUUAAUCUAUGAUUCGGAUAGAAUCAUAGGGUGAAGGAGAGGGGGGGGGGGUGGGGGGGUGGUGGGCUUAUAAUUAAAUCUGAUACUAUACUUUUAUAGAUUAUUGUAACAUAAAUUGAGACAUAUGUUGACCUGACCAUGAGCUUUAAAGUUGAGUUGAUGUUGAGCUCUAUUUGAUUCCGCUGGAUUUAAGAUCAAGAGAUUCCAAAAUAGUAGUUGUCAAGAUUCUAGACCGAGAAGCAGUUCUCUUUUCAAUUUCCUUCCUCGUGCAAAGCAAGACUUACUGAGCCGAAUUUUCCAAUUCCAAGUUCCAUCUGCUUCCUCCUGUUUCCCAUUUGUCUUCCAGUAACAAGCAUGAUGUUAAUUUCCCUCUCUGUGCUGUACUCUAAUGUGGUUUAGUAGAACUCCUUACACGUUUGGCAUGACUUUUCCUUUUGCUCUAUUUGAUAAAAUUUUGAUUCGUAGACUGGAAAUUCAGUAGCCAUGUCUUUGAUUAAUACCACUUUUUCCUUCCUUUUAAGGGUGAAGGUGGGGGUGUUUGCCGGGGAUAAUUUUGUGGAAAUGGCUGGUGAGCUACCAUAUUUUGCUUAGGGAUGGGGAACAACAUACUCCCCUAGUUAUCAAAAGCAAAGAAAAGUAUGCCACAUGGUUUAAAAAGGUAGUUGUCAAGGUGCGCCUCAAAUUCUGGCGUAAGGUUUGUGCCUCAAGGCGCAAGUUUUUAUGCUACUAUAUUGAGGCACACACCUUAGAUUAAUGAGCACAUGCCUCAAGGCGCAUGAGGCAUGUGCCUCCAUAUUAUUGUUAAAAGUAAAAGAAACAUCAGAUCCUAAGUGGACCCAACAAUUACGUUAACUUGUUUAUCCUAAACUAAUUUAAUAUUACAUCACUCACUAGACAAACAAAAACAAAAAGCUUUUGCAUCCUGCUCCAGGCGUCUACCCGAACAGAAACUACCUUUCUGACAAUAAUCUGGCAGCCAUCCAAGUGUACAAAUUCUUUCAGUUUGCACAUAUUUUAUUUUUGAAAUUCUUCUCUUUGCUUUUAUUUAGAUAACAAUUUACCAACUGCAAUUUUUCUUUGACCUUGGCAUCCUCGGGAACUUCUGAACUUUUUUCAACUACAAUGGGAUUAUUGAUUAUUUUCUACCUAAUUAAUUUAUUUGAUGUUUGUUUUAUUGAGAAUUUUGAAAAUUGUUUAUGAUUAAUUUUUUAUUUUUUAAUUAUUUUUUUAAAUCUUUCGACUGAAUUUUUUGGUUUUCUGCAUUUUGGUUUUGUGUGGGGUUUGGAUUUUUAAUUUGUAUUAUUUGAUUUUUUUUAUUUUUUAUUAUUAUUUCUUUUUUUGGGUAUGGUGAGGCUUACACCUCAAACAGCUUCGAGGCUUGCAUGUUGGUUCACGAAGAAAAACACAUUGAAUAUGGUAUGAGGUUGCAUAAGUUUUGGAUCUGACAUGUGGAUCUUAUAACGCAUAGACAUACCCUUUGGGCUGAUAUGGAUUAUCAUUUUACAGUUUCUGAUGUACUUAAAAUGAGCAAGUUUAAAUUUAUUUUUCACGAACAAAAACACAUUGAAUAUAGUAUGAGGUUGCAUAAGUUUUGGAUCCGACAUGUGGAUCUUAUAAUGCAUAGACAUACCCUUUGGGCUGAUAUGGAUUAUCAUUUUACAGUUUCGGUUGUACUUAAAAUGAGUAAGUUUAAAUUUAUUUGUAUAACUGAAGCCAUUUUCUUUGUUCACAUUGCCAUAAAUCCUAAAUAUUGCUACUGCUAAAUUUCCAUUAAUGACACGAGAUACCUGAAAUUUUUCACAUUUUGUUUUGAACAAUUGUGCUGUCAGAUUUACCUUGUUAAGCAUUACUUCUUUUCUGUGAUUCAUAGGCUGAAGCAGAGCUGAUUUCUUCAAUUGUCACCUUUUUCAAACGCAUUGGGAUCACUGCAUCAGAUGUUGGAUUUAAAGUGUCUAGCCGAAAGGUGUGAAAGUCAGACACAUUUUCAUUUUCUAAAUGCAUUUUUUAAAUUAAUAUCACCUUCUUGGAAUGUGUUUGCCUUUUGUUUAUAAAGUACUAAGGCCUAUGGAGAGUCCAUUUUGUUGAACACUACAUGUUUUCUGACUUGUGCAUUUCAGGGCAAAUCAUUAGCUUGUAUUCAUGUUUUUAGGCACUCUGGAAAUUGAUCUAGAGAUCCUUAAUAUGCGCUUGUUUUCAAUAUCAGUAUGAUUUCAACAAUCCCCAUGAUAUAUUCUCUUUUGCUUCACCUCAACUUCCGGUUCACAUAUGAAGUUCAUUCAAAAUCUUUCCACUUCAUAUGAUCACUUGUUGUUUUUUUAUUGAGCAGUACUAUGCAUACUUCUGCUAUCUGGAGAAUUGACAAGUCAUCUUCUUUUGUCACAGGUUUUGCAAGAAGUUUUGAGACGCUACUCUGUUCCAGAAAGUUUGUUUGGCAGGGUUUGCAUAAUUAUAGACAAGGUUAGCUUUAUGAUUCAACAUUGAAUAUGUUUUCUCCUCAUCUUCCUGAGGCAAGGUCUGUCACAUUAUCAUAAAUUUGGACUCGACUAGCCAAAGAGUUGAGGGGGGGAAAUAAAAGAAACCGACAUGGUGAUCUCAAAUUACUUCUCUUCCUAUAUUCUAUCCUAUUUUCUUUAUCAGAUCCGGUGUCGUGAACGUAACAUGCCAUCAUUAGAUAUGUUUUUCCCGCAUUCACAAAGGCAAAACUUGAAAAAGGCACAGAGCUUUAUGACCGUUGUUGGUAUGAGAGUUCCCUGUGUAUCAAAUUGAAAGUCGGUUUUCCUUUUCAAUGCUUGGAGAAACUUAAAAGCCAUCUAUGAAUUCCGCUCGAUGGAAAAAUGAGUUACCAUAGGAUAGUUCAGGAAAGACUUCUCUGGCAGCAUUUCAUAUGAGUGGAAGUUAAUUUAUUAAUGCCUAUUCAUUACUGUAAUUCCUCUCUCUCUCUCUCUUUUAUUGGGGGAUUUUGGUGCUUGGGUGAUUUGAAAUAUACAUUAUCUGAGGGGGCAGCAUGCACUGUAAUUUACUUCAUAAAUACGCAGAAGGAUAUGGAGACCUUUGUCCCAGGAAUUGUAACCCUUUUAUAUUUCUCGUCAUCUUUUCAACGGGGUAGCAAUGAUAUAUGUCAAUGGGAUUCAGCAAAGGCGUGAUGAGUCAAAUUUACUGUAAGCUAUAUAAAUGUAUCAGUUAUUGAUCUGUUUUAAGUUGUACAGCUUUAUUGAUUUACCAUUAGUACGCUCAAUUUGAGAAACUGAAUAUGGGUGCUUUGCUGUUCAUGCCUCUCUCACAGACGCGUUGUAAAGUUUUUCUAAUUGUUUUGUAUAGUUUGCAUUACUGUUCUGCUAUUUUUUAUUUAAUCAUUUCUCUCCUUUUUUUCCCAACAGAUGGAAAAGAUUCCAAUAGAUGAAAUCAAGAAAGAAUUGAAGUCUGCUGAGUUAUCAGAGGAGGCUAUUGAUGAGCUUUUGGAAAUUCUUUCUAUGAAGUCUUUGGCGAUGUUGGAAGGUUGGUCUUACUGUUUCUCAAGUUAUAACUUCAUUUUCAUCAUUUUUCUUUUCAGUUUUGGAAGUUUGGGACCGUGGAAUCAAUUUUGCCUAUCUUUUUCCUUAAUUUUCUGUGUCUAUUUCUGUCUCUGGCAUGUGAAUUAGGAUCUCGCAUGCAAAGUCAACACCACUAAUAGGGCCGGGCCACCAGGCUAGUGCCAGAAUUUGUCUUAACUAUUUUAGAAUUAAGCAACAUGCUCCUUAAAUGAAAAUUUGGAGACCUUAAGACUAGAAAAAUUGAUUGGGGAAUGCAACUGCAAAUUGUCAUAAUGUUAAAUUGCUUCAUAUUCUUCUGUCAUGUGUUUAAUAGUUACUUGAGGCCAGUUGAGAAAAGGUUAUGUCAGCAAGAGUGUUAAUUUUGAAUCAAUUAUUAUUUAUUAUCUUGUUAUAUUAACAAUUGUGGUGCGUUUUGCUUUUGUUGUAGAGAAACUUGGGGAUUCCGUGGAAGCACUUGCUGACUUAAAGCAACUAUUUUUGCUUGCUGAAAAGUAUGGUUACUCUGAGUGGAUUCAGUUUGAUGCAUCCAUUGUCCGUGGCCUUGCUUAUUAUACUGGAAUCGUAUUUGAGGUAAAAUUUAUAAAGCAUUUUUCCCCAUUUUCUUUCUGAACCUUAAGGGUCCCAUGUCGUCGGCUGGUUUCUUAAUUGUGUGAUUCAAAUAUAAUUGUGUAAUCAAUUAGUCAGCAAGAUUCAUAAAAUCUCUUUUUCGUUUAUUGUCGCUGUUGAUGACCUGAUACAGAAAGUGUACAAACUACAAUUAGAGCAGUUCCAAUGCUCAUGGAUUGCAAUCUAGGUGAUAUCUAAAUAGAAAGUCUUCCAGUCUAUUUGGCAUUAAUGUCUAAUGAAUAGACGGCCUAGUCAUCUAUUAUGUAUAUAUUUAAUAGGGUAGAGAGAGAAUAAUAAAAAGGAUGGAAAAUAUAAGAUGAGAUUUGUUGGGGCGGGGGGGCGGGGGGGAGGGGGGAUUGAAUUAUGGUGACUUACUCUAUCUCUACUUUUCUCUUGCUACGUCAACUAGACAUAGUCAGAGACAUGCUGUAUUAGAGAGGAACUUCUAUAUACAUUUACUUUCUGUAGAAAAGAAAAGAACCAUGCCCUACCUAACCAGAACUGGUCGGUCCUGAUCUGGUUCAGUUCCAUCGCUAGCCAUAGAACUGUUUGGUUCCCGAUUUGGUCUGGUACCAGUCACCAGACUAUGCGCACUCCUAGCCUACACUUAUGAAUUAACUAAGAAAUUGGAUAAUAAAUUUAUCAGGAUAGCAUUUUCACUCAACCUGUUUCUGGCUGGCUACAAUCAUUCUCAUAUGAGUAGGUUAUUCUCUAUCUCAUUAUCUUAUUGUAUUUCCUUCUUCAGGGAUUUGAUCGAGAAGGAAAACUACGAGCCAUUUGUGGAGGUGGGCGAUAUGACAGGUUACUUUCGACUUUUGGAGGCGAUGAUAUUCCAGCCUGUGGCUUUGGAUUUGGUGAUGCAGUUAUAGUAGAAGUGAGUCGAGUUUCUCUUAAAUUUUUGGCUUGGGUGUUUGCUUAAAAGUUCUUCCUUUUUCUUUUCUUUUUUUUUUUUAAAUUGAAAAAUAAGGAGUGAUUACUUUUACGUACUGAACAUGGUGAAUGCUGAAAUUUUUUCUGCCAAACUGUUUGGUUAGGCACUAAAUUUUAUCAAAUAUUUGAUGAUAAAAUUGAAUGAGUUGGAAGUGAGCCAAAUCGGGAAAUAUAUACAUAAUUUACUUGCUUAUAUUUUUUAUCAAUUGUGAAUAAUGUAUAUUAUGUAAACAGUUGUCAAUCAUUUGGAGUUGAUAGAAUAAAUUAUAUUUUUUCCUAAAACUAAUUUGAGUUACUGAUCUACUCAGCUUGCUCUAUGCAGUAACAUUUUAUAUGUUCUCGUGAAUUUGAUAAUGUAUCACAUAAACAAUAAAUGUGUAUAUUGAUCCACACUGUUACUGCUACUCUAUGGAACGUUGCUUUAAUUCCAUCUGCCAAAAGCAAUAUUUUCAGAAUGCCAACCUAAGUGAAUGGAAGUGAUUUAACUGUGAUGAACUCCAGGAUCAUCAUAGUAUAUAAAUUCGAAUAUAACUGCUCCAACCAUGUUAGACAGUAAAUAUUCUUGUUCAAUUGUUUUUGCUACUUUACUCUGUUCGGUGAUUAUGCAGCUUCUCAAAGAGAGAGGACUUCUACCGGAACUUGGUCCCCAGGUAGAGAACAUUGUCUGCUCAUUGGAUCAGGAUCUCCAGGGUGCAGCUUCUGCAGUUGCUGCUAAACUCAGGGGAAAAGGACAAAGUGUUGACUUGGUUCUGGAAAAUAAACCCCUCAAAUGGUAUGAGAUUUGAGAUUUCAUGAUACCCGUAGAAAAGUUAAUUUUUUUAAAAAGUCACAAUAUCUUGUGUUCCGUAUCCUUUGUUUCUUGUACCAUACCAAAAUAUGAACAUUCACCACUUUUUUUUAACGGUUUAUAAUCUUCAGGGUGUUUAAAAGGGCAGCACGAAUAAAUGCUUGCAGGCUGAUAUUAGUGGGUAGCGCGGAGUGGCAAAAGGGCAUGGUUCGAGUCAAAAUUCUUUCGUCGGGCGAGCAAUAUGAGAUUAAAGUUAAUGAGCUAGAAUAGCAAGGUUAAAUUAUUAUGCACAUGCAUGUACCUUUUACAUUUAUCUUGGCAUAUAAGACCAAUUCCAUUUUUAUUAUUGGUUUCUAAAUUUUCAAUUUUUCAGAUCUUAUUGUAGCAUACGGGGAACUUCAUAUCUGUAACAACAUACCAUCUAGAAUUUGAAUAAAAAUUAAGUGUAUUGUUUGGUUCUGAGUUUAUCUUUUGGUUGAUUAAGUGGAGAGUAAUGUGAUAGUUUUAUUAUGCUGGAAA